rnacentral:rRNA from 1 species
GAUGAACGCUGGCGGCGUGCCUAAUACAUGCAAGUCGAGCGAACAGACGAGGAGCUUGCUCCUCUGACGUUAGCGGCGGACGGGUGAGUAACACGUGGAUAACCUACCUAUAAGACUGGGAUAACUUCGGGAAACCGGAGCUAAUACCGGAUAAUAUAUUGAACCGCAUGGUUCAAUAGUGAAAGACGGUUUUGCUGUCACUUAUAGAUGGAUCCGCGCCGCAUUAGCUAGUUGGUAAGGUAACGGCUUACCAAGGCAACGAUGCGUAGCCGACCUGAGAGGGUGAUCGGCCACACUGGAACUGAGACACGGUCCAGACUCCUACGGGAGGCAGCAGUAGGGAAUCUUCCGCAAUGGGCGAAAGCCUGACGGAGCAACGCCGCGUAAGUGAUGAAGGUCUGCGGAUCGUAAAACGCUGUUAUUAGGGAAGAACAAAUGUGUAAGUAACUAUGCACGUCUUGACGGUACCUAAUCAGAAAGCCACGGCUAACUACGU